rnacentral:rRNA from 1 species
UCCCAAACUGGGAUUAGAUACCCCACUAUGCUCAGCCCUAAACAUAAAUAAUUCACACAACGAAAUUAUCUGCCAGAGAACUACUAGCAACAGCCUAAAACUCAAAGGACUUGGCGGUGCUUUACAUCCCUCUAGAGGAGCCCGUUCUAUAAUCGAUAAACCCCGAUAAACCUCACCACUUCUAGCUAAAUCAGUCUAUAUACCGCCAUCUUCAGCAAACAAA